GGGUAAGAUUAGUGAGUGUUGAUUUGUUAGCGGCUGAAAAUACUAAAAAUUUGUAUCAGUUAGCUUUAUCUAUCUAGUGUUAUGAACAUCCAUUCAUUUUCCGUACCACUUAUCCUACACAGGGUCGCAGGGAACUUGACGCAGGAAACACCUAUCAGCCUACAAUACAUGUCUUUGGACUGGGGGAGGAAACUCCCAAAGCAGAGGGACAACAUGCAAGCUCCAGGCACACAGGGCCACCCAGAGGUAUCAGCAGAGCUAGCUAAUGUUUGCUAGCCUGACUAGCAAUCUGACAGCCUUGCUGGCUAACCAGGCUAGCUGUUACAUCAGAAAACAUAGAAAGGGUAGUGUGAGCACAGCUAUGAUAUCACACUAUGAUUAGGAAAAACACACAAAACAGCUAUAUAUGCGAGUUAGUAGUAAUGUUGACAACAUAAACACAACAUGCUAAUGGGCAGAAAAAUGUCGUUAUUACUUCAAACUCAUUCUGAAGAAUGGUUCGGUUCAUGCUAGUCUGUUUUCUGCACAAGCCCAGGUCUUCAUUGUAUAAUCUGAGAUGGAGAAUACAUUAUUGCACAGUCUGUUAUAGAAUUUGGCCAAGAGUUUAUUUAGAUCAUCUCAAACAGAAUAACUAGCCAAGCAACUAGCCAACAGCCUUAAGCAGCUAGCUAAUAUUAGUAGUAGUAAGUUAAUUCCAGUUUUUAUAGCAAUUCAUUACUGCACAAAUAAUCCUGGGGAUUCGUAACUAAAUAUAAUCGUAAAUUAACUAUAAUAAGUAACUAACAUGCAGUGAUUGUUGUCAUUAGCUGCUGUGGCAAAAACAUACUAGCCAGAGAAAAAUAACAUAAAAUGGCUGAAAACAAAUGUCACCCAAAAUAUAAACAAAACAUGAAUAAACAUUUUUCUCCAGAAUUUUGAACAAAAUGUGUGUGAAAGUCUAAAGAAUCCAACGUUUGUUGUUUUAAUUAGCUGAGGGGAGUCAGGUGUGUUAAAUCAGAGCAGCUAAUCUCAGCAGCCCUUCAGCUCUGGAGCCUGACAUCACUGCUCUAGUCACCUUUUCAUAAACAUACAUUGAACCAUUUAGCCUCUGCGGAUAAAAACAUGACCUGAGGCGAGACAGUGGAAAGGCUGGAGGCAGAGAUAUAGCGUGAAGAGAGGAACAGCAGGAUUGAGCCGGAUUGUUAGAGGAGAAAUAACAGGAGAAGCAGAGAAGCAGAGCCUGCAGAGCGGAGGAGUGGAUGUGCUGGGUGAAACAUGGUGGAAGAUGAUUGACGUAAAGCGACAGGCGCCAGGAACGUCACACCCUUCACCUGAAGAGGCUUGACGGAUUAGACAGGACUCUAUAGAGCAAAAGUUCCUGAGUGCGUCUUUGAGGACCAGUGCAAACUUGGACUUUUAUUUGGACUCCAGCUCCCAUUCCACCUAAGGCCAGGUUGAAUUUGGUGAAGCAAACCAUCACAAAACCCCUCCUCCCUCCCUCACGCAAGGAGUUGUGGGCAACAUUAGCUGAAAACGUGUCCAUGGGUCCACACUUCGAAAAUCUACCAGGAAUAGUAGACCAUCCAGUUACCAUUCAGGUACUCAUUUAAACAUACUAUGA